rnacentral:tRNA from 1 species
UCCCCGGUAGCUCAAUCGGUAGAGCGUCCGGCUGUUAACCGGAUUGUUGCAGGUUCGAGUCCCGCCCGGGGAG